rnacentral:rRNA from 1 species
UACAGAGGUCUCAAGCGUUGUUCGGAUUCAUUGGGCGUAAAGGGUGCGUAGGCGGCGCGGUAAGUCGGGUGUGAAAUCUCGGAGCUUAACUCCGAAACUGCAUUCGAUACUGCCGUGCUUGAGGACUGGAGAGGAGACUGGAAUUUACGGUGUAGCGGUGAAAUGCGUAGAUAUCGUAAGGAAGACCAGUGGCGAAGGCGGGUCUCUGGACAGUUCCUGACGCUGAGGCACGAGGGCCAGGGGAGCAAACGGG